rnacentral:rRNA from 1 species
UACGGAGGGGGCUAGCGUUGUUCGGAAUUACUGGGCGUAAAGCGCACGUAGGCGGCUUUGUAAGUUAGAGGUGAAAGCCCGGGGCUCAACUCCGGAAUUGCCUUUAAGACUGCAUCGCUAGAAUUGUGGAGAGGUAAGUGGAAUUCCGAGUGUAGAGGUGAAAUUCGUAGAUAUCGGGAGGAAUACCAGUGGCGAAGGCGCUGACCUGGACGAAGAUUGACGCUGAGGUGCGAAAGCGCGGGGGAGCAAACAGG